rnacentral:rRNA from 1 species
GACGAACGCUGGCGGCGUGCCUAAUACAUGCAAGUAGAACGCUGAAGGAGGAGCUUGCUCUUCUGGAUGAGUUGCGAACGGGUGAGUAACGCGUAGGUAACCUGCCUGGUAGCGGGGGUUAACUAUUGGAAACGAUAGCUAAUACCGCAUAACAGUAGAUGUUGCAUGACAUUUGCUUAAAAGGUGCAAUUGCACCACUACCAGAUGGACCUGCGUUGUAUUAGCUAGUUGGUGGGGUAACGGCUCACCAAGGCGACGAUACAUAGCCGACCUGAGAGGGGGAUCGGCCACACUGGGACUGAGACACGGCCCAGACUCCUACGGGAGGCAGCAGUAGGGAAUCUUCGGCAAUGGACGGAAGUCUGACCGAGCAACGCCGCGUGAGUGAAGAAGGUUGUCGGAUCGUAAAGCUCUGUUGUAAGAGAAGAACGAGUGUGAGAGUGGAAAGUUCACACUGUGACGGUAGCUUACCAGAAAGGGACGGCUAACUACGUG